rnacentral:rRNA from 1 species
CCUACGGGGUGCAGCAGUGGGGGAUAUUGCACAAUGGGGGGAACCCUGAUGCAGCGACGCCGCGUGUGGGAAGACGGUCCUCUGGAUUGUAAACCACUGUCCCCAGGGACGAAAAUGACGGUACCUGGGGAGGAAGCUCCGGCUAACUACGUGCCAGCAGCCGCGGUAAUACGUAGGGAGCGAGCGUUGUCCGGAAUUACUGGGUGUAAAGGGAGCGUAGGCGGGGGUGCAAGUUGGAUGUCAAAACUACCGGCUCAACUGGUAGUCGCACUCGAAACUGCAGCUCUUGAGUGAAGUAGAGGCAGGCGGAAUUCCUAGUGUAGCGGUGAAAUGCGUAGAUAUUAGGCGGAACACCAGUGGCGAAGGCGGCCUGCUGGGCUUUUACUGACGCUGAGGCUCGAAAGUGUGGGGAGCAAACAGGAUUAGAUACCCGUGUAGUC